GAAGACCCUGUUGAGCUUGACU
rnacentral:ncRNA from 2 species